rnacentral:rRNA from 1 species
CAGCAGCCGCGGUAAAACGAAGGGUGCAAGCGUUAAUCGGAAUUGCUGGGCGUAAAGCGUGCGUAGGCGGUGAGUUAAGUCUGCUGUGAAAUCCCCGGGCUCAACCUGGGAAUGGCAGUGGAUACUGGCUUGCUAGAGUGUGUCAGAGGAUGGUGGAAUUCCCGGUGUAGCGGUGAAAUGCGUAGAGAUCGGGAGGAACAUCAGUGGCGAAGGCGGCCAUCUGGGACAACACUGACGCUGAGGCACGAAAGCGUGGGGAGCAAACAGGAUUAGAUACCCCUGUAGUCCCUGUCUCUUAUAC